AUACGGAGGGUGCAAGCGUUGUUCGGAAUCACUGGGCGUAAAGGGCGCGCAGGCGGUUUGGUAAGUCAGAUGUGAAAGCCCACGGCUCAACCGUGGAAGUGCAUUUGAAACUGCCAGACUUGAGUACCAGAGGGGAAAGUGGAAUUCCCGGUGUAGAGGUGAAAUUCGUAGAUAUCGGGAGGAAUACCGGUGGCGAAGGCGACUUUCUGGCUGGAUACUGACGCUGAGGCGCGAAAGCGUGGGGAGCAAACAGGAUUAGAUACCCUUGUAGUCC
rnacentral:rRNA from 1 species